AGUGAACGCUGGCGGUAGGCCUAACACAUGCAAGUCGAACGGCAGCACAGUAAGAGCUUGCUCUUACGGGUGGCGAGUGGCGGACGGGUGAGGAAUACAUCGGAAUCUACUUUUUCGUGGGGGAUAACGUAGGGAAACUUACGCUAAUACCGCAUACGACCUACGGGUGAAAGCAGGGGAUCUUCGGACCUUGCGCGAUUGAAUGAGCCGAUGUCGGAUUAGCUAGUUGGCGGGGUAAAGGCCCACCAAGGCGGCGAUCCGUAGCUGGUCUGAGAGGAUGAUCAGCCACCCUGGAACUGAGACACGGUCCCGACUCCUACGGGAGGCAGCAGUGGGGAAUAUUGCGCAAGGGGCGAAAGCCUGAUCCAGCCAUACCGCGUGGGUGAAGAAGGCCUUCGGGUUGUAAAGCCCUUUUGUUGGGAAAGAAAAGCAGCAGGUUAAUACCCCGCUGUUCUGACGGUACCCAAAGAAUAAGCACCGGCUAACUUCGUG
rnacentral:rRNA from 1 species